UGUUACUGACGCUAAAGCUCGAAAGUGCGGGUAUCGAACAGGAUUAGAUACCCUGGUAGUCCGCACGGUAAACGAUGGAUGCCCGCUGUUUGCCCUUCGGGGUGAGUGGCUAAGCGAAAGCGUUAAGCAUCCCACCUGGGGAGUACGCCGGCAACGGUGAAACUCAAAGGAAUUGACGGGGGCCCGCACAAGCGGAGGAACAUGUGGUUUAAUUCGAUGAUACGCGAGGAACCUUACCCGGGCUUGAAUUGCAGAUGACGGAUCUAGAGAUAGUGACUUCCUUCGGGACAUCUGUGAAGGUGCUGCAUGGUUGUCGUCAGCUCGUGCCGUGAGGUGUCGGCUUAAGUGCCAUAACGAGCGCAACCCUUCUCUUCAGUUGCCAUCAGGUAGAGCUGGGCACUCUGGAGACACUGCCACCGUAAGGUGUGAGGAAGGUGGGGAUGACGUCAAAUCAGCACGGCCCUUACGUCCGGGGCUACACACGUGUUACAAUGGCCGGUACAGAAAGUCGGAUGCCCGUAAGGUCAUUCUAAUCAAGAAAGCCGGUCCCAGUUCGGACUGAGGUCUGCAACCCGACCUCACGAAGCUGGAUUCGCUAGUA
rnacentral:rRNA from 1 species